CUCCAUCCCAUAAAAAGUCCUCACUGCAGUCAGAGACCAGUAGAAAUCAGAGUAUCAUAAACCUGGCAACUCUAAGACUGAAGUUCAGUGAGUGAACAGCCUUAUUCAUCAGACAGAUAAAAACUCUUUCCUUGACUACCUAAAAAGCAUGUGGAAACAUCCAUCGCACACCUUUCCUGAAUGAUUAGGCUCCUCUUCAGCUUUCCAUCAAUUCCUUUUCAUUCCAUUCAUUCUCUGUUUGCCUCCCAGAUUUUUAUUGACACUGAUCACUUCAGGCACUGGGGUGAGGAAGCAGCUGCUGAGGCUAACAGCAUCAGAGCUCAACUUAAGGAGACCUGAGCACCAGCGGAAUACAAGGGCUGACACAGAUGAGAGUCUUGUUCUAGGCACUGUAAAACAUUUUGUGAGAAACCAGUCCUACCUCUCUGAAGAAUUUACAGUGUGACUGCAUAAGGAUCAAGAACAAGGUUGGUAUCAUCACAUGUUAUCAUCUCUAUUUUAGAGAGGCAGAGUAUCUUUUGCCUGAAGCCACACCAAAUGGAUAUGGCAAAAGUGGGAAGAGAACCAAGAAUCCUGUACUUGGAGAGACUCUUUCUCUUGAGCACAUCAAUAACCUGAGUAAGUUGAUUCUUCUUUUUCAGUGAACUUUACUGAACUAAAAUAUAUUGAAAUGUGGAUGGAGAAAAUUUUUGCUGAUAACAUAAAUGUGUUUAAAACAUUUUUGAAGUACACAUACACGAAAGCAUGGUAAGUUCCUCCUUUAGCUAAUUGCUGGUGGCCUCAAUUUUUUUCCUGCAUUCUAUUUUGAUGGUCUAGUGAUUGCUGCAGUCAUUGUGAAUAUGCCUGUUGUCAUGCUUAAUACUUAUUUCCUAGCUCUUAGUUUCUGCUAUGGUCUGAAAGUAAUUUUAGCAGUCCCACUUUUCAUCUUGUGUGUAGGCUGCUUUUACAGUUUUACUAUAGAUCUAUAAUUUUCUCUGUAGCAGACUCUUGAGAUGAAGAAUGGAUUUAUGUUUAACACACCAGAGUUGGAGGGAUGUUAAUCUUGUUGCAGUUGCAAACUUUCUUGUGUGACCUUGAAUUCUCCCAUUCUCUCCUGUGCUGACCUCUGUACUUUUAAACUUACAUUUGUAGUUCACUUGAGAUCAUCUGCUAUGCAAACAGCAAGCAUUAUUCUACAGUUUGGAUCCUUAUUCAAGGCAUUCAAUAAAAUAAGCAUGUGUAAGACAUACGUACAGAAGGGACCCAUGUUAAUCAGUAAGUCUGUGCUGUAGGUAAGUAGAACAUCGUCUAGUGACUCUUGUACCUGUCUGGACAUACAUUUCCACUGUCCUGCUCUUUUUGCAUGCAUAUUUUGCGAACAAUUUAGGUGACUCUUUUAAGAAGAUUUAUUUCUACAAGACUGACAAAGAUUUCUGAGAAAACAUGCAGGCGUGAGUCACCCACGUUCCACUGUUUUUCACGCAGCAAUAGGUUCUUAUAGUAAGCUUAGUUAUAAGAAAUAGCAGU